rnacentral:rRNA from 1 species
CGGACGGGUGAGUAACGCGUGGGCAACCUGCCUUACACAGGGGGAUAACACUUAGAAAUAGGUGCUAAUACCGCAUAAGCGCACAGCUUUGCAUGAAGCAGUGUGAAAAACUCCGGUGGUGUAAGAUGGACCCGCGUCUGAUUAGCUGGUUGGCAGGGUAAAGGCCUACCAAGGCGACGAUCAGUAGCCGGCCUGAGAGGGUGAACGGCCACAUUGGGACUGAGACACGGCCCAGACUCCUACGGAAGGCAGCAG